AACGCUGAAGAUAAUAACUUCGCAUUAGCUGCCUAAUAACGGCGGCCGAUUCAAAAACUAGAAAAUCGUCCUGCGUUUUCUUUUUGAAUCUCAACUAAUGAGCAGGAACAUCUCGUAUAUUUUCCUCUGGUAUAUGAGAUUAUUUAAGAGGAUAUAUCGAUCAUAGUUUUGUCAGUUAAAUUUUGAUCGACGAAUAAAAAUUAAUUGACUGCACUCGGAGAAGUUCUUAGGGAUAUAUUUUUGGACAGGAGUUCGAUUCUCCUCAUCUCCACCA
rnacentral:tmRNA from 1 species